UUACUUCCUUCAAAGUCAUGCUGUUCAGCUGACUGCUUCCUGAACAGGCUGGGCUUCCCUUCCUGCAGGCACCACAGCCAUUCACUUCUUCCUGAGCCUGCACCCCGCAGUGACAAGCAGUUUCCCCAGCCCUAGCACCUUUGAGGAAAUUCAGUUCUUCAAUGGCCCCAAUUACCACAAGGGCAUCGACUGGUAUAUGGACUUCUUCCCUGUUCCUUCCAAUGCCAGCACUGACUUCCUGUUUGAAAAGAGUGCCACCUACUUUGACUCAGAGGUUGUACCUCGGCGGGGGGCUGCCCUUUUGCCAAGAGCCAAGAUCAUCACUGUGCUCAUCAACCCUGCUGACAGGGCCUACUCCUGGUACCAGGUUUGUCUGAAGGAAGGGACACAUUAGGCCUUAAGGGAGAGGUGGAGAAGGUGGUGUCUGCUAGAGACACAGAAAGGAACGAGAGACGGGAACUGAACCAGACAGGAAUAUGGCCAGAGCCAUCGCCAAGGCAGCACCCCGUUCCUUCUCACCCUGUUCUGCAGCACCAGAGAGCACAUGGAGACCCUGUUGCUCUGAACUACACCUUCUACCAAGUGAUUUCAGCUUCCUCCCACGCCCCUCUGCUGCUUCGCUCCUUGCAGAGCCGUUGUCUUGUUCCUGGCUACUAUUCUACCCACCUUCAGCGCUGGCUGACUUACUACCCCUCCGGACAGGUACUCUCGCAGAAGCCCUUAUGAGGGUACCCCUUCCCUUCAGCCCAGGCUUAAGAAUUGAGAGGAGUCACAUCCCUGUCCCUUCAG
rnacentral:lncRNA from 1 species